rnacentral:rRNA from 1 species
GACGUAGGGGGCAAGCGUUAAUCGGAAUUACUGGGCGUAAAGCGUGCGCAGGCGGUUUUGUAAGCCAGGUGUGAAAUCCCCGGGCUCAACCUGGGAAUGGCAUUUGGGACUGCAAGGCUGGAGUGCGGCAGAGGAGACUGGAAUUCCUGGUGUAGCAGUGAAAUGCGUAGAUAUCAGGAGGAAUACCGAUGGCGAAGGCAGGUCUCUGGGCUGACACUGACGCUCAUGCACGAAAGCGUGGGGAGCAAACAGG